AAUAAAGAGCCUGAAAUAGGGGUACCCUGAUACUGUACAUAUGCUAAUAGCCUUUAUUU
rnacentral:tRNA from 1 species